AGGGCGAAAUAAAGGAGCAAAGGAGGAGAGGAGGACCCUCGCUCCAUUUAAAGCGUGUUUGUGUGGCUCGCUGCUCGCCUCUCGCCCCCGCCCUCAAGCACAGUCACACGCUCGUCUCUGGUCGGCUCGCUGCAGCGGCUUCCUUCAGAUCCUUAUCUUCUCGCCGCUCUGGGGCCAUUUGUUGCGCGGAUGGGGUCCGGGGAGCAGCGGGUGCAGUCGGAGGCGGCAGCGAACCGGACGUGAUCCGGGCCAUGGGGUAGAGCGCUGUGGGCAGUCGGGCAUGGAGGUGUCCCGUGGCGGUGCUGCCGCCGGCGGAGGGGCGCGGAGGGGGGAGGAGGAGGGAGGAGAGGUGAGCCUGCGGGAGUGGCUGGACCGGCCGGGCCGGGCCGUGGAGGCGCCCGAGUGCCUGCACGUCUUCCGCCAGGUGGCGGAGGCGGUGGCCGACGCGCACGCGCAGGGCGUGGCCGUCGGCAGCGCGCGCCCGUCCUGCUUCGUCGUGUCCCCGCCCUUCUCCCGCGUCGCCUUCAUAGAGUCGGCCUCGGGCUCGGACGCCUCCGGCUCCGACGCCUCCGAGGACGCCGACCACGACGCCGAGCCUCCGCGCCGGGGUCACGGCGCGGGCCGAGGGGGGGAGGAGCGCGGCGAGAAGGGGUUCCCGCUCAAGAGCGUGCUGGCGAUGGAGCUCAAUUGGUACACUAGCCCCGAGGAGGCUGACGACAGCGGCGGCGGCGCUACCUUCGCCUCCGACGUGUAUAGAUUAGGCGUGCUCAUGUUCGAGUUGUUUUGCAGCUUCGAAACGUUGGAGGAGAAGAUGCGGGCAAUGGCCAAUCUGAGGUACCGCGUGUUGCCGCCACAGUUGCUGCUCAAGUGGCCCAAGGAAGCAUCCUUCUGCCAGUUGAUGAUGCACCCUGUACCGGACACCCGACCCAAGAUGAGUGAGGUGCUACAAAGUGAGUUCCUUAAUCAAUCAAGGAAUAGUUUGGAAGAGCGCGAGGCAGCUCUUCGGUUACGUGAAGAGAUAGAAGAACAAGAACUGCUGCUGGAUUUUCUUCUCCAGUUGCAGAAAAGAAAGCAGGAUAUAGCAGACAAUUUGCAGGACACUGUCGCCUUUCUCUCUUCUGACAUCAAUGAGGUACUCCACCGGCAGUCAGCCCUCGGUCAGUGUGGAAAUUUCUCAAUUGAGUUGGAUAAAGAGGUGUCCUCUGGAACUGUUGAAGAUCAGAGUGACUGUGGAUCCAGAAAGCGUUUCAGACCUGAACUGCACGCUGUUGAUAUGGAGGAACACAGUCGUAGUCUGGAAGAAUGUUCUAGAACAGUGCCAUCAUCUGUGGUAAUUCAGGAAAGUGUGUUGUCAAAAAGCUCAAGGUUAAUGAAGAACUUCAAAAAACUAGAAACAGCAUAUUUUCUAGCAAGAUCCAAGUUGGCAAGGCAAGUUGGCAAUCCACUGAGAAGUUGCGAUCAGGUUGUCAAGAGAACUACUGGUUCAGCUGUUGGAACUGAAGGGAGUUCAAUAGAUGAUUUUGCUUUAGAAGGGCAUUCUGGUAGAAGACAAGGAGGUUGGAUGAACUCUUUUCUUGAAGGAUUGUGCAGGUACUUGUCAUUCAGCCAGUUGAAAGUUCGGGCGGAACUGAAGCAAUGCGAUCUGCUGAACUCAUCAAAUUUAGUAUGCUCUGUAGGCUUUGACCGGGAUAAUGAGUUUUUCGCAACUGCUGGUGUAAAUAAGAAGAUAAAAGUCUUUGAAUAUAAUAUGAUCGUAAAUGAACACCGUGACAUUCACUAUCCUGUGGUUGAGAUGUCUAAUAAAUCAAAAUUAAGUUGUAUUAGCUGGAACAGUUACAUGAAGAGCCAUAUAGCAUCUAGUGACUUUGAUGGUCUCGUACAGGUUUGGGACGUUACUAGGAGCCAAGUUUUCGUUGAAAUGAGGGAGCAUGAGAGGCGUGUGUGGUCAGUAGACUUCUCACUUGCAGACCCAACCAAAUUGGUUAGUGGGAGCGAUGAUGGUACUGUGAAGCUGUGGAGCAUGAAUCAGGCAAUUCUAUUCUUGCACCUGCUGCUGGGAGUGUUGGCACUAUCAGAACAAGGGCAAAUGUCUGCUCAGUGCAAUUUCAACCUGAUUCAGCUCGCUCCAUUGCAAUCGGCUCUGCAGAUCACAAAAUUUACUGCUAUGAUCUUCGCAACAUACGGGCUCCUUAUUGUACACUAGUUGGCCACACAAAGACUGUAAGCUAUGUCAAGUAUGUAGAUGCAUCAACCAUAGUAUCUGGUUCCACUGACAACUCAUUGAAGCUUUGGGACUUGUCUACGAAUCAAGCAAGAGUUAUUGACAAUCCAGUUCAAACUUUUACAGGGCAUACAAAUACAAAGAAUUUUGUUGGCCUUUCCAUUUCUGAUGGAUACAUUGCUACUGGGUCAGAAACAAAUGAGGUUUUUGUCUACCACAAAGCAUUUCCAAUGCCAGUCUUGGCGUAUAAGUUCAAUGUCACAGACCCAAUAUCAGGCCAGGAGAUCGACGAUCAAUCACAGUUCAUUUCGUGCGUGUGUUGGAGGGGGCAGUCUUCGACACUUCUUUCUGCUAACUCCAGUGGGAACAUUAAGGUCUUAGAAAUGGACUGACCCUGUACGGAAGGGCGAGUGUGCUGCCUGGUUUCGAGUAGAAAUGGACCGACUUCAGUGACUUGUUAUCAGGGGAAUGUGCAUGUCUUGCUAUUUUAUCCCUUCAAGGCAGAGGUGGGAAUAGGGUACCCCAGAGUUGGGAACUAGUAGGGUGGUAGUGUUAGCUGUAUCAAGAGUUAGCGGAGGAUUACAGGUUAGCGUCAUAGCAAAUGUAGCAUAAAUAGUGAAGGUAUUUGAGAUGUUGGGGUGGCCCAAGGGUUUUGUACAUCAUUGGUUUCAGGUAUACUUGUAUAGGCAAUCAAUCCGAGUCUUCGGCUAAUGCUGGCCUUUGGUUGUUGCAGUCCCUUUUAAUUCUACUUGGUUGCUUGAUGUUCCCUUCUUUUUUUCCUCAA